rnacentral:lncRNA from 1 species
AAGCAUUACAUGUUAUUCUUAACACCUGCCACUUCUCUCUUCCCACCUCUAUCUGCCUUAUUGAACUUCAUCUUUCCUUCAUUCUCUUCAACUUCCACUUCUUCUUGUAUGGUCCUGUUGAUGCCAUCUUGUUUCCGUCCCCAGACUCAUCAUCUUUACCCUCUGUCAACUGAGUUCCCACCCUGGUUCUCUCUCAAGAUCUUCCUCUCAUAGCUUUCACCCUUGGUAAACAAUGAGGACACAUCUCAAAAAGAAUGAUGUAAUUUAAUUGCCUUGAGUUGGCUGGGCCAUCAUCUAUUAUAAAGUGCUCUUAAAAUUAAAGCUAAUUUAAUUCUGAAGAACUAAGGAUUAAGAAGUUAAGAGCUGGGGUUCUUACAAUAUGGCUUGCAGACUACAAGUGUGAACUGAGGAGGUCCCCAAAGUCACUUCUUACUAAGUGAAAGCGGUGUAAAUGGCUCUUAUCUGAACCACAAUGAAUUCACAUAUUCAAGUUGGCUUCUUCGGAAAUUUCAGGCCACAAAUGGCAGUGAUGCGACCAGGAGCAGUAACACGAUUACAAGUCGCAAUUUAGGAAGGGUGCUCCAUCAUCAUUUCAUGAUUCUCACUACAGCCCAGACAGGUGGGCAGAGCAGUGUUCUUUCCCCUUUAAUGAAUGAAGAAGCUGAGCCUCAAACAGAUGAGGGGGCUUCCUGGGUUCACAGAGCUCUAAAGGGCUGAGCUGUAGAUCCACGGCCACCAUGAUGAGCUAAGAGUUUCUGGAUUCAGUGCCUGCUGUUGCUCCUGGAGAUUUGUAUCCUGAUUGAAGGCUGGUUCCAUAUCUGUUCACCCAGUGCCACUUCCAUCCGGACAGAAGGAACCCAGGUCAAGGCUGACAGGAGGAGCAGGAGCCGUCAAUGAGAGCAGACCUCAGAAGCCAACGGAGGUGAGAAGAGCACCAUCCACAGCCCCAUCCUCUGAAUGCUGUGGGAAGAAGUCCACAAAAUACCACCCCUUGGAGUCAGUCAGUAGUAGAGCCCUUGCUGCUGGCUGCAAAUACCCCAUCAGAACAUGUUUGGGGUGAUUCUUGGACCUGGUUUCAAUUUCUUUUCUGCCAGUCAGCAGUUGUGCUUGACUCACAAUUUGUUGCCAUCUCUUGAAUUAAACUCAGGAAACAGGAUAAAGAUCAGAACCACAUUGUAAAAGCUUCCUUAUGGUUCAUUUUUUGCUGAGAUAAAUAAUGAGCAGCUCUGAUCCAUGUCUCUGGAGAGCUCAGAGCACACUACCAGGAGCUCCUAGCCACAGGGUGAGCACAGGUGGCUGGUGUUCUCUUGAUGAGGAAAGACAGCAGUGUCCAAUCUACCCUGCCUUACACGGAGCCCCAGGUGCUCUCCCGGACUGUGUUGCUACCUAAAGCACAUGGCAAUUGCAUGAUGCUAACCAGAGCAGCCCCUCACUCAUUAGAAACAUCUGCUUUGCAUUAUUUACACAGGCAAAGUUUUCCUUUUUACUGAGCCUACCCAGUUCAAACUUAAGUGGGAUUUGCCAGCUAUCUGGCUAAUUUUAUGAGCAAUAAUAAAGAUUGGUGA